UACGUAGGGUGCAAGCGUUAAUCGGAAUUACUGGGCGUAAAGCGUGCGCAGGCGGUUUUGUAAGUCUGACGUGAAAGCCCCGGGCUCAACCUGGGAAUUGCGUUGGAGACUGCAAGGCUUGAAUCUGGCAGAGGAGGGUAGAAUUCCACGUGUAGCAGUGAAAUGCGUAGAGAUGUGGAGGAACACCGAUGGCGAAGGCAGCCCCCUGGGUCAAGAUUGACGCUCAUGCACGAAAGCGUGGGGAGCAAACAGG
rnacentral:rRNA from 1 species